GGACAGAAAGGAACCAUCUACUCCUGCCCAGACCAGCACUGCACUCCCUGCGACAGAGGACUCUAAGAGAGUGCUGCAGGAGCUCCGGGAAGUGUCUGCCCUGUGGAAUGAAGCAGACCGCACGUGGCCCGUGUACCAGCAGCAGCGGUUUGCCAGUGCGAGCGUGUGGGCUCCGCGUCCUCCAGCCCAGCCCGGGGA